rnacentral:rRNA from 1 species
GGGUGCGAUCAUACCAACACUAAUGCACCGGAUCCCAUCAGAACUCCGAAGUUAAGCGUGCUUGGGCGAGAGUAGUACUAGGAUGGGUGACCUCCUGGGAAGUCAUCGUGUUGCACCGC